rnacentral:rRNA from 1 species
CAUCCUAAGGACCGUUCCAGAGGAUGGAUCUUUCCACUUCGGUGACCCUAGUGACAGGUGCUGCAUGGCUGUCGUCAGCUCGUGUCGUGAGAUGNUCGGUUAAGUCCGGCAACGAGCGCAACCCACAUCCUUAGUUGCCAGCAGUUCGGCUGGGCACUCUAGGGAAACUGCCCGUGAUAAGCGGGAGGAAGGUGUGGAUGACGUCAAGUCCUCAUGGCCCUUACGGGUUGGGCUACACACGUGCUACAAUGGCAGUGACAAUGGGUUAAUCCCAAAAAACUGUCUCAGUUCGGAUUGGGGUCUGCAACUCGACCCCAUGAAGUCGGAAUCGCUAGUAAUCGCGUAACAGCAUGACGCGGUGAAUACGUUCCCGGGCCUUGUACACACCGCCCGUCACACCAUGGGAGUUGGUUCUACCCGACGGCCGUGCGCUAACCUUUUGGAGGCAGCGGAUCCACGG